rnacentral:rRNA from 1 species
GACGAACGCUGGCGGCGUGCUUAACACAUGCAAGUCGAACGAAGAGCGAUGGCAGCUUUCUUCUGUCAAUCUUAGUGGCGAACGGGUGAGUAACGCGUAAUCAACCUGCCCUUCAGAGGGGGACAACAGUUGGAAACGACUGCUAAUACCACAUACGCUCUCAUCUCGGCAUCGAGGAUAGAUGAAAGGUGGCCUCUACAUGUCAGCUAUCACUGCAGGUGGGGAUUGCGUCUGAUUAGCUCGUUGGCGGGGUAACGGCCCCGCAAGGUGAUGAUGAGGAGCCGGUCGGAGAGGAUGAGCGGCCACACUGGGACUGAGACCCGGCCCAGACGCAUACAGGAGGGAGCCAGGGGGAAUCUUCCGGCAUGGACGAAAAACUGACGGCGCAAGGCCGCAGGAGCGAGGACGGCCUUCGGGUGGUAAAGCUCGGUUAAUCGGGACGAAAGGCCUCCUUGCGAAUAGGGAGAAGGAUUGACGGUACCGGAAUAGAAAGCCACGGCUAACUACGUG